CAAGAAGUGCGGACUUUCAACUACCCUCUAAAUAGGAACAGACGUUCACUACAAGUGGAGUGCCCCACCAAUUAGAUGAUGGUAGCAAGGUGUUUAACCUAGAAACCUGGAACCUCCCCAUCAGGACAGUAGAACUGAUGAAGCCUCUUGGAUGAGAGGCGAAACAUCUUUACUUGCAGCAAUUUACUUGAGAAACAAGACCCAACGUCUGUGUGAGUUAUGGCCAUUUUUCCUGGCCUGCGUCAACACCUGCCUCAGUGAAGUCAAACAGCAUCAUGUUAACGGACAUUUGUUUUGGGUUUGAGGGAAUGCUUGUGGAGGAAACAAAAAGGCAUUUAAAUGUUAGGACUUGGCUCAAUUAGUACAUUUACUAAUAAAAGUGUCACCAUUUGGAAAGGCAAAAAGGCCAAAGUGUUCAGAAAGAAAAAAAAAAUCCUCUAGGUCCUGUUUCUCAUCAGGCUCUUCGAUCCACAGUCACUGUGUCACAAAUACUGUUUGCAGGCAAUGAUCCACACAUAUGGACAGCAGAAUACAUAGAGUGUUCCCUAGGAAACGAUAUGUAAAAAAAGUAACUGUACUGGAGGAGUGACUCCUUCAUCUCCUCCUCUCUCUCUCUCUCUCUCUUAUUAUCUGUUUUCCAUGUUUUUCUCUCCCAUCUUCACCCACUGUGUUUACAUCCUCCUCUCCUAUUGUAAUCUCUUUAUCUUGCCUUCUGUGUGGACCUUUGUCCUAAUACAGUGCCUCGAACUCAUUGUGUCUGUUUCCUGUGUAAUCACUUUAGCCUCUCUGCUUUUAAUUAUUCUCUUCCAUUGUUUUAAAGGCCAGACCCUGGAC